UACGAAGGGGGCUAGCGUUGCUCGGAAUUACUGGGCGUAAAGGGCGCGUAGGCGGAUGUCUAAGUUGGGGGUGAAAUCCCGGGGCUCAACCUCGGAACCGCCUUCAAUACUGGAUAUCUUGAGUUCGGGAGAGGUGAGUGGAAUGCCGAGUGUAGAGGUGAAAUUCGUAGAUAUUCGGCGGGACACCAGUGGCGAAGGCGACUCACUGGCCCGAUACUGACGCUGAGGCGCGAAAGCGUGGGGAGCAAACAGG
rnacentral:rRNA from 1 species